CCAUCUUGGCUCGGGCGCGCGCCCCUCAGCGGCCGAAGUGGCCUCGCCCAAAAUGGCGGCGUCGCCUUGAGGCGGCGCUCGGCUCCUCGUGGGGGGCCGAUCCAAAGUGUCUUUCCCUCGUGAGCCCGCCGAGGGAAGUAACAACAACGAUUACUAAGGAAGUUACAACAGAGACUGAAACAGUCCAGCAAGUGGCAAACGAGUAGUCGAUUCCCAGUAUAUGCUUAUACAUAAACAUGACGUAGUGGAUUAUUUCUAUUAAAUUGAAUUAUCAGGAGAUAUUAUAAGUUUAUUAUCCCAUAGCAACGGGGGUUGGGGAUCAGGUGAUCUUUAAGGUCCAUAUGUCUCUAUGAUCUAGUGGAGAAAAGCUUUUAAUGACGCUAAAAGAUGGUUUAAAUUAACAGCAGAAUUACACGCUCAGGUGUGUGCUAUGGAAUGAGGGCAAUGAUUUUGGGAGAGUUUGUGAGAACGUGUUCGCCUGAAAUCAGGAACUGGGACGUGAGCUCCGUGCCAGUUAACACUGAAAUUGCAUCGCCUUACGUAGAAGUGAAACCUGUUACUAAAUUGUAUCCUCAAGUCAUGAGAAAACUACUGUUUCUUAUUGUGAAAGCAGCAGUGGCCACAAUUCACUCUCAUCGGUUCUCGUUAAGUUGAAGGAGGCUAAAAAAGGAUUUGAAAAGAAAUACCCAAUAAGAAACAAAAGUUGCUAAAGCAAUGACUUUUUUUGUUUAUGUCUAAAUACAUAGGAUCUUCUGCCACUUUUCUUGGGGACGUAGCAGGUGCGUGUGACACAGUAUGUAAGAGCUGCUGCUAAAUCAAAUCUGUGAUGCCUUAUCCUGCAAUGUUUGGUGUUUCAAUGAAAAGCAUUAGAAGCUGGUGUUUUGGAUUAUAGUCAGGACAGCUGAUGAAGAAAUGCACGGAGCUGCAGAUAUCAGUAGAGAAAAGGGACACUUGAGAGCCCACAAGAGUCAGAAAUACAAAUCUCAUCAUACAGCAACUUCAAAUUAAGUCAUACUGUUUUGGGUUUUUGUUUUUGGUGUUUUUGUUGUUGUUUUGGGGGAGUUUUUUUGUUUGUUUGUUUUGGGGGUUUUUUUGUUUUGUUUGGUUUUGGUUUUUUUGUUUUGGUGUUGUUGUUUGGUUGGGGGUUUUUGGUUUUGUUUGUUUGGGGGGUUUUGUUGUUGGUUUUUUAAAAAUUAUUAUUAUUGUUUUAAUGCUCAUUGAAGGCCCAAAAGUGACACAAGAUGGCGCCCAGAACCACAGGCAGAGCAACCUGAGCAACACCCUGGCUCCCAGGUGGUGAGGUUCCAGUUGAUCUAAAAGUGAAUAAAGCUCCUGUAUGGCUAACAGACCUUCCACUCAAGCAUGGCUAUAUUGCAUUUUCUUAUAUUGAGGUUAGAGGCCAUGCUGGAGAUCUGUACCAGAAAUCAGCACAGAGAUCCAGAAUGACUUGAACAUUCAUACAGAGAUAUUAACAGCAGUUGAUGGUUACUCUGGUUACUCUCAAAGGGAAAACUUCAAUAAUUUAUCAGUAAGUGGUUCCAUUCCUUGCCUAUUUUCCAAUAUACCCUUGGGUCAAGAUGACUGCACUGUUCAUUACUCUGCUGAAGUUAUAAAACCGCAUUUGGUGUGGCACUGUGAGUCAGCAGAACUCGCUGAGCAGUUCCCACUGCACAGGGCUCCAGGGCUGGUUUCACAGAAAGCAUCA